CAGGUCUGCUUCCAUGAGCUUAGAGGAGAGCCCUGGCACCCCUCACCUGCUGGAAGCAGCACCUUUGUCCUGCAGAGCACAGCCAGCUGCUCCGGCCACCGCCGCUUCCCAGGGAACACUGGCAGCGAAGAGAUUCCUUAUCCCCAAGCAGCUCCACACCCCCACCCUGCAGUGAGGGCUGCUGCAGGAGAGGGGCACUCACCUGCCGGGGUGUGGACACAAAGCGGUGAGCAGUAAAGGAGGACGAGAAUUGGGCCUCUGAAAACGACUGGACUGGGAUGGCUCCUGUAUGCUGUCAGUGCUGCCACAGGGCUGACAGGCAGAUCUGCACACCAGCAUCCAGCCCAUGGCCACCAUACGCUGACAUUCAGAGCUGGGAUGGGCUCCUUGGGAGGACCCCCGGCCUGCAGGCCGCCCACACUGCUGGAGAGGCACACAUCACACAGCAGUUUGGAGCUGCUCAACAGCAACAGAACAGUGCAGCGAAUUAAGUGCCACGCAGGCUGGGCACCAACAGCCGCUCUGCCCCUUCACACACAACACCAAACCAUCCAUCUCUUCUCUUUCCCUCCUUGCUAGCUUGCUUAAAGCAGUUUGUAGAAUAACAGGAGAUGCUAAACACGGUACUCUGCUGUUCAACACAUCGUGCCUGCUUUUGUUUUCGAAUGGGAGAGAUGAUAAAUCCUGAUCCUCGUUCUUUGAAAACUCCUCCAAGGAACAAACGUGAAGAAGUGUUUCUGAUCACCCCGGUUUCCCCGCCGCGCUUCCCAGUGCCCACCCAGCCCAGCCCGGAGCACCGGGACGGAGCGCCCACAGCAUCCCCUUUCUUGGGUUCUGUUUUGUUGUAGAGAAAGGUUUCCUUCUCAGAACAGAAAGGAAAAGCUCUCAAUGGCAAGAAUUCUUUGUGCUGCAGAUUAGCUGCAAUAUAGGUGAGUGCCAAAUGAUUCAAAAACUGUGAAGAAUUCCAGCACACAUCACAGUCAGUGCAGCUCUCUCUGAACAGAGAACAGCCCGGAGGUCAGCAGGCAUAGCAGCAGCCGUGCUGCCCAGCGUAUUCACAUGUACCACACGGUUUUGCACAGGAACGUCUCCAAAACAAAUCUCAGCCUGAGCUGAAAUCUCUCUUUCGCUCCUACGUGAAUAUUUCAUUGUACUUAACCAAAGCCCCAAAAGAUGAGGGGAAGCAAAUAGGUAGGAUCCAUUUCUGGUGCGAUGAGGCCGGAAUGGUGCAUCACAGCUCUCGUCUUGGAGGCCUCCAUCACUACUGAUGAGUCCUAAGAGUGAUGAACAUAACCAUAAACCCUUUGUUUCAAUAA
ensembl:lncRNA